rnacentral:tRNA from 1 species
GCUCACUUGGUGGAAUCGGUAGACACGGUAGACUCAAACUCUGCUCCCUCCGGGGAUCUCGGUUCGAGUCCGAGAGUGAGCA